rnacentral:lncRNA from 1 species
GCUGGCAGAGACUUCUCUGAUGAGAAAAUGAUAAGUGUUUUCAAAUGCUGUUCUGGUUAAAAGAAAGCUGAUCCAAGGACUCUACUGCAAAUCAUCUCUUUGGGGUGUUGACUGUCAAGAAAGGUAUUUUUCUGUGCCUUCCUUGCCCUGCCUCUCAGAUGACACCUGUUUCCUGGUGGCAUUUCUUCUAACUUGAGUUAGAUUCACAAUUUCUCAAGCUGCUGGAAGGAUCCUACGAUCAACUUUUCCUGGGGAGACAUGAACAAAUGCCUACUCACUCCAGAUUGGGCACCAUCAAGAAACCAAAUGAAUGACUGUACCCAAGUCUAGCUUAGUGAAGCAAUGCAUUUUUUUGCACUUGUUCCCAGGAAUAUGGAUCUUCGAUGUGAUAAGAAACACCUAAACUCAAAGUAAUUUGAAAGAAUAAACAACUUCAGUUAAAGAAGGUCCCCAAAGAAGUGUAAAGUACAAGUGUAAAACAUGUAGAGUUAGUGAGCACCUUGCAGACACACAGGAUGUACUUCUCCAAGAUGGUGCAAUGGAGCAGAAACAGCUCAUGUCCCUAAUAAGAAGCCACGAGGGACCUCAUUGCUUAUUGAAGAGUCUUGCAGCAUACUUUGUUCGUUGGUCUUUUCUUAAUGGUUGGCUAUUUCUCCUCCAAUUCAAGAACAUUAAAAUCUAACAGAACAAAGACCGUGACCACCCCAGACACACAUCCCACAACUCCAAGCUAUGUGUGUCCAGAAGAGAAACAAAACAAAAUUUAUGGCUUUUGCUCUAGUAAUUCCUGGUGAGUCAUAUCCAUAUAUUUCAACACCAGGACACUUCUUCAUUUUCCAGGUGACUCUUUAAAGCUGUUACUACAGAUCUUGAGAUAUCAUUCAUGAUUACCUUAAACCCCUAAGACCCAUUCAUUAACCCAAUGGUAUCAAAUAUUUCAAAUCCAAUCGGGUUCCUCCCUCCUACAAGUUGAUGAAAAUGAAAACACACAGAGUCACCUUAAUAAAAUGAAGAACUGAGUCAACAGAAUUGUUGCAGCAGGUGUGUGUUCUAACUGCACUGCCUGUGCUAUUGAGGUGACUCCAUGAGACAUUCUUCACUAUCCAUGAUAAAGAAUGGCUUUUCUGCAGGGAAUCUAUUAAUUUUUUUCUGUCACUUCCUCCCCUCCACUCCAAGCCACCCACUGAUCUAAGUCAUUCUUGAACACGAUUAUGAGUGUUUUCAUACAUAUGUGAUGCAUUGAGUAACUGAAUGGAUCCCAUCUGGGAGAUAUAUAAAGUGGACACUGAAGUGACUCAUCAGGCAGCUGCAGAGAAUACACAGAUGAGAAUGGCAGGGAACUCCACCAUGAAGAUGCUGAGCAUCAUCCACACCAUUUCCAGAAGAUGGAAAAAGCCACAUGACUGUGGAACACCACAAAAUUGAGGAAGAGUUUGAAGCUCACGGCUGCCAGAGUGAAACCUUGGGCUCUGGUAUUAGCUGCCUUGUACAUGGCUGAUUGGAACACAAAGGAAAAUAAUCUUGAAACCUCUGUGAAAGGGUCAUGCGACCUUUCAAGGGAUAGUGACCCUAAGGUUGAGAGCCACUGAUCUAGAAGCUGUGUGAUGGAUUCAGGUCAACUUUCAGCUUUGAAGGUAAUGCAUUGUUAUGUGACACUCUUUCUGGACAGAAGGGAGCAAGCACCUGUGUACCCAAGAUGGGAAACUCAAUACAAGCAGAAGUAAGAGUUCCAUCCAAGCCCAAUUUAUUGAACUAACAGGUGUAUUAGGAUUUCUUACCAUAACAUGAGUGAAGGGUUGCUUAUAGUAGCAGAAAUUACCCAAAGUCAGCUGCAUCAACAAAGCACACUCCAGCAUGGGUGACAGCUUACAAAGCUGGGAACCUGGAGCACAUUGUUUAGGUGCAGGCAGCUCAACGGGUCAAUGGGUGUCCUUUCCAGGCAGCUCAGUUGAUCUGAGAGGGUCUUCACUAGUCCUAAAUAUUUAUAUACACUUAGGAACGGAGAAGCCUGCCUUUGAGUUGUUGAUUUUCUGCGCUCAGUGGGCUUACCUGCUGGCUGGACUGUUUCACCUCCCUUUAGGGCACCCUGUGUCUUAAGGAGGUUUUAUUGCAGACGACAUUACUACACAGCACAGCUUGUGCUUCAGUUAGGGCACUUGAAACAGGAAGGUAGGGAUUGUGGAUCCCUUUGGACACAUUGCUGAUUUCAAGUACAAUACCUUCACCCCAGCAACAGACUUUUGAGACACAAAGAGUAAUUUAAAACCAACACACAAGGUUAUCAUUAAAAUCUCUACCACACUAUUAUACUGUCACUUGACAAAACUGGAAACAAUUGUUUGUUUUGCAAUGAUUUAUUACAGAAA